UAUUAGCAACGUGCCUUUUUUAGCAGCUUGGAAUUUAAGACUAAUCCAUCCCCAAAACUGUUUCCUGGUUUCCUUUCAUUCUCAAGAGUAGAACUUCCCUCUAGUGCAGACAAUCAGAAAAUAUUAUGAACCUUCACAGGAACUUGGAAAUAGCUGAUGAUGCUCCCAUAUGAUGGCUCAGAUGCUCACUCUCAGUCUAAACAAAUUAUCUUCUGGGGGAAAAAAGGUCAGUGAAACAAAAAAUAUGUGUUUCAGCAGUCUGAUGAUGAGAAGCUCCCUUCUCCAGUUGAAAUAGAAUGGACUGGAUGACUGAAUUCUCCUAAUUCUGUAAUAUUACAUUGGAAUCUCUUCUCCAUAAUGAAGUGAAGAUAAGGUGGUUUUCCUCAGUGGGCUCAUGGCAUCACCCAAACCCACCAAGCUCAGGU